rnacentral:rRNA from 1 species
CUAAUCAGAAUGUCUACAUCUUAAGAUUAGAUCUCAAAUCAGGUAGGACUACCCGCUGAACUUAAGCAUAUCAAUAAGCGGAGGAAAAGAAACUAACAAGGAUUCCCCUAGUAGCGGCGAGCGAAGCGGGAAGAGCUCAAAUUUAUAAUCUGGCACCUUCGGUGUCCGAGUUGUAAUCUCUAGAAAUGUUUUCCGCGUUGGACCGCACACAAGUCUGUUGGAAUACAGCGGCAUAGUGGUGAGACCCCCGUAUAUGGUGCGGACGCCCAGCGCUUUGUGAUACAUUUUCGAAGAGUCGAGUUGUUUGGGAAUGCAGCUCAAAUUGGGUGGUAAAUUCCAUCUAAAGCUAAAUAUUGGCGAGAGACCGAUAGCGAACAAGUACCGUGAGGGAAAGAUGAAAAGCACUUUGGAAAGAGAGUUAACAGUACGUGAAAUUGUUGGAAGGGAAACGCUUGAAGUCAGACUUGCUUGCCGAGCAAUCGGUUUGCAGGCCAGCAUCAGUUUUCCGGGAUGGAUAAUGGUAGAGAGAAGGUAGCAGUUUCGGCUGUGUUAUAGCUCUCUGCUGGAUACAUCUUGGGGGACUGAGGAACGCAGUGUGCCUUUGGCGGGGGUUUCGACCUCUUCACACU